UACGAAGGGUGCAAGCGUUACUCGGAAUUACUGGGCGUAAAGCGUGCGUAGGUGGUUUGUUAAGUCUGAUGUGAAAGCCCUGGGCUCAACCUGGGAACGGCAUUGGAAACUGGCUUACUAGAGUGCGGUAGAGGGGUGUGGAAUUCCCGGUGUAGCAGUGAAAUGCGUAGAUAUCGGGAGGAACAUCUGUGGCGAAGGCGACACCCUGGACCAGCACUGACACUGAGGCACGAAAGCGUGGGGAGCAAACGGG
rnacentral:rRNA from 1 species